UAUGAACCCUGGUCCUCUCUCUAGCAUUUGCUAGGAGUCUUCUUGUCUGCUGAAUUGCUUUGAUCUCUGUGACAACGCCAGCCGAUUGCUCUUCAGAUGGUUUCCUAACUGAGUCGAUAGGGUCAACACUAUUAUGGAGGCACUGGUGAGCUUUCUUGACCAGGCAGGAGGUGGUGGUCCGGGACAGGUCCUCUGAGAUGUGGAUCUUCAGGAACAUGAAGCUGGAGACAUGUUCACCUGGCAGCUCUUAAAUGUGGAUGGGGAGUGCAUGCUUCCUCUCUCCUUCCUGAAGUCCAUGAUGAGCUCCUUUGUUUUGCAGGUAUUAUGUAGCAGGCUUUUUUGGCACAGCAUGUUUCUUCAUGCAACUUCUUCCCUGUAGGUGGUCUCAUCUUUGUUGGUGAUGAGGCCAAUCACUGUAGUGUCAUCAGCAAACUUGAUUAUGGAAUUAGAUCCAUGCACAGGCCUGCAGUCUUGAGUGAAGAGCGAAUAUAGGAAUGGGCUCAGCACACUGCCAUGUGGGAUACCAUGGUCCUUAAACCAGGUACUGGUAGCUUUCCCACUGUGUGCAGAUGUCAAGUCCUGUUGGUAAAUGAAAUCUGCAUCUCCAUAAAGUGCACAGACAGUGUAAGAAUCAUCUCACCUCGGCUAAUAGACAAAAAGGACUGGACUGCUGCUGAGUGGUCCAAAGUUAUGUUCUGUGAUGAAAGUAAAUUUUGCAUUUCCUUUGGAAAUCGGGGUCCCAGAGUCUGGAGAAAGAGAGGAGAGGCACAUAAUCCACAUUGCUUGAGGUCCAGUGUAAAUUUUCCACACUCAGUGAUGGUUUGGGGUGCCAUGUCAUCUGCUGGUGUUGGUCCGCUGUGUUUUCUGAGGAGCAAGGUCAAUGCAAGGUCAAGCACUUCAUGCUUCCUGUUGCUAACCAACUUUAUGGAGAUUGGUAUUGUCAAGGGGAAAAUGAGAAACAAGGGACCAAAAAAUACAGAUGAGCUGAAGGCCACUGUCAAAGAAACCUGUGCUUCCAUGCCACCUCAGCAGUGCCACAGACUGAUCACCUCUAUGCCACACCAAAUUGAGGCAGUAAUUAAAGAAAACAAAGCCCCUACCAAGUUUUGAGUACAUAUACAGUAAAAUGAACAUACUUUCCAGAUGGCCAAAAAUUCAUUAAAAAGUUUUUUUUAAUUGGUUUUAUGAAGUAUUCAAUUUUUUGAGGCAGUGAAUUUGUGUUUUUUUGUUAAAUGUGAGCCAGAAUCACACAAUUAAAAGAACCAAAGACUUAAAUUACUUCAGUCUGUGUACUGAAUUUAUAUAAUACACAAGUUUCACUAUGAGUUGAACUACUGAAAUAAAUUAACUUUACUGGCCUCACAAGCAAAGAAAUUGCUAAAAAGAAUAUUGCACCAGAAAGCAUUAUUAACAGAUCAUCAAAAACUUCAAGGAGAGAGGUUCAACUGCAGUGAAGAAGGCAUCAGGAUGCUCCAGUAAAAGCAAGGACCGUCUCCUCCUGAGGAGUCAGCUACGGAAUCGUGUCACCAGCAGUGCAGAGCUUGCAAAAGAAUGGCAGCAGGUGGGAGUGAGUGCAUCUGUACGCAGAAUGAGAUAAAGACUUGGACAAUGGCCUGGUAUCAAGAAGGGCAGCAAAGAAGCCACUUCUUUCCUAGACAAAAAUCAAAAACAGACUAAAAUUCUGCAGAAAAUACAACUGUUUGGAACAUCUGGAAAAUCGACUGUCUGGAAAAGAAAAGGUGAAUGCCAUACAGUAUAUGACCCUGAGACCAUCAAUGUGUGGGGUUUCUUUUCAACCAAGGGAGUGGGAUUAUUCAUAUUUCAGCCCCAAAAACACUGCCAUGUAUAAAAAAAGGGUAUCAAAACUUCCUACAAGAGCAACUCAUCCCAAUGAUCCAGGAGCAAUCUGGCGAUAUGUGCAUUUUCCAGCAUGAUGGCAUCCCUUUUCACAAGGCAAGAGUGAUAAUAAAGUGGCUCAAAGAUCAUUACAUUGAGAAAUUUUGGAUCCGUGGCCAGGCAACUCCCUGUAUCUCAAUCCCAUAAAGAACCUGUGGUCAAUCCUCAAAAGGGGAGUGAACAAGCAGAAGCCCACAAAAUUGCAAAUGUUAUGAACACAG